rnacentral:rRNA from 1 species
UACGGAGGGGGCGAGCGUUAUUCGGAAUUAUUGGGCGUAAAGGGCGCGUAGGCGGCCCGGUAAGUCAAAGGUGAAAUCCCUCGGCUCAACUGAGGAACUGCCUUUGAAACUGUCGGGCUUGAGGCCGGGAGGGGGUAGCGGAAUUCCCAGUGUAGCGGUGAAAUGCGUAGAUAUCAAGAGGAACACCUGCGGCGAAGGCGGGUUGCUGGGCCGACACUGACGCUGAUGCGCGAAAGCCAGGGGAGCGAACGGG